UGCAUGUUCCAUCUAAAUAUUUACCACUAUCAAUAUUUGUACAUCCAAAUCACGCAAAUUAGGAUAUGCCAACAGCGGCUGUGGUGAGGAGUAGUAUCUUUAUGUUUAAAUAACCCUGUGUUAAAUCUCUCCCUGCUCCAAAACAGCUGAUUCAAACUAUCAACUAGUUCUGAAUCCUGAAGCUGCUUCAAUCAGCUGUGUUGAAGCAGGGAGAGAUUAAAUCCUGCAGGACAGGGAGAAACUUUCUCCAUGAGAGGGUUGGGAAACACUGUCGUAGUACAUAAACUUCAAUUCAUAAAGAUUCAUUCAUCCAGCCAGCAAAGUCUUUGCACGCUGUUUAAUGUUAAGUGUGAAAAGCUACACCGAACGGUCUAAACGAUAUAGAUUUUUAUUUGAUCUUGUUUUGGACAAAUAACUAACCUGAGCGUCGUCAACAUGUUAAGACAAAUGCAAACCUAUACCUUUGCAAAAUGCUUUACAAAAACAAACACACCGUAGCUUCAUACAGUCUAUGAGUAACGUUAGCUUACGUUAUCCAAAGGAAAAAGAAAGCUAAUCCUGCUACUUCAGGAGCUAACGCUAGCCACCGUUAAAAAACUGAGGAGGUCUGCAGUUGGACCCCUCUCAACACCUGGGACUCCCUUCCAGUCAGUCAGACCUGAAGAAGCCUCUUGGAUGAGAAAAGUCUUCCAGUAUCAAAAACCAUGGAGACUGUGUAUUGCUGCAUGCAGCUAUAUUUCUAGAUGUGCUGCUUCAGCUUCAGUUUGAGAAACAGAUCAUCAAGUUUGAAGCUUCAUCAGACACCGAAACACAGAAUAAUGUUUCUGCUUAUUUGAUCUUUUGUUGCAACAAUGAGGAGAAAUAAAGCAAUCUACCAGGAAUGUGCAUGUACGUUUUUGACCGGACGAUGCGGCGCCUUAGCGUUUGACCCUGUGCUGCUUCUUUUUUUCCCAGAGGCCCUUGCGUUGGUGGAUACACUGUGUCAACGCAGCAGGUCCAUUCAGAAGAAUGCGGGGGUUGAUUUUUCUCUGAACACAACCUUAAUUGGAGACACACUUCAAAGCCUGCUUCAUCUUCCCCGCGCCGUUACCUAAUCAUCCCGAUGCAUUAAUCUUUUAAUUAAACCUCUUUUGAUUGACAGGUGAUCCUCAGAGUGACAGCUCCAGUCAGAGGACGGGCUGGAUAUGGACACGCUGUCCUGCUCAGUCCACUCUGCUCCUGCAGCUCUAUAUAAGGUUAUCCGGCUCUCCGGGGGAAAGACAUGGAGGGCAGCACAGGAGACCAUCGCUUGGUGGAUUAACGCUCCUGAACCCCACACAUCUCACAAGUCCACAUCAGAUGCCCUGACUGAACCAAUGGGGAUAGGUGGACAGAGCAGAGCAGGAGUUGUGGAUAUAAUUU